UACGAAGGGGGCUAGCGUUGCUCGGAAUCACUGGGCGUAAAGGGUGCGUAGGCGGGUUUUUAAGUCAGGGGGGAAAUCCUGGAGCUCAACUCCAGAACUGCCUUUGAUACUGGCAAUCUCGAGUCCGGGAGAGGUGAGUGGAACUGCGAGUGUAGAGGUGAAAUUCGUAGAUAUUCGCAAGAACACCAGUGGCGAAGGCGGCUCACUGGCCCGGUACUGACGCUGAGGUGCGAAAGCGUGGGGAGCAAACAGG
rnacentral:rRNA from 1 species